rnacentral:lncRNA from 1 species
CAGUGUUCCACCACUGGGUUGAAUCACCAAGGGAUUCAUCCACCAGGGAUGAACAAAACAUGUUCUCUCCAUAUGGUGGAACAGUAUUUAGCCAUCAAAGGAAGUUCUGAUGUGUGUUACCAUACAACAUGGAGGAGCCUCAGAAACCUUAGCUGAGUCAAAAGAAGCCAGACGUAAACAGCCACAGUGGAUGACUCAUUUGUAUGCAACGCUGAGAAGAGGGUGGAAAUGACGCUUCCCCUCCCCAGGGCAGCUGGAGGGUCCAGAAGUGAGGAGACAACAGUGGGCUCUGUACAGCAUAGGAUUCA